rnacentral:hammerhead_ribozyme from 1 species
AUCCAACUGAAAAGUUCCAAAAUAGGACGAAACGUGUGUACUGGAU